UGGGGAAUUUUCCGCAAUGGGCGCAAGCCUGACGGAGCAACGCCGCGUGAGGGAGGAAUGUCUGUGGAUUGUAAACCUCUUUUCUCUGUGAAGAAGAUCUGACGGUAGCAGAGGAAUCAGCAUCGGCUAACUCCGUGCCAGCAGCCGCGGUAAGACGGAGGAUGCAAGCGUUAUCCGGAAUUAUUGGGCGUAAAGCGUCCGUAGGCGGUUAAUUAAGUCAGUUGUUAAAGACUGCAGCUCAACUGUGGGAGAGCAACUGAAACUGAUUGACUAGAGUAUGGUAGGGGUAGAGGGAAUUCCUAGUGUAGCGGUGAAAUGCGUAGAUAUUAGGAAGAACACCAGUGGCGAAGGCGCUCUACUGGGCCAUAACUGACGCUGAUGGACGAAAGCUAGGGGAGCG
rnacentral:rRNA from 1 species